rnacentral:rRNA from 1 species
UACGAGGGGGGCGAGCGUUGUUCGGAAUUAUUGGGCGUAAAGGGUGCGUAGGCGGUUCCGCAAGUCCUGUGUGAAAUCUUCGGGCUCAACUCGAAGUCUGCACGGGAAACUGCGGGGCUUGAGUGUGGGAGAGGUGAGUGGAAUUCCCGGUGUAGCGGUGAAAUGCGUAGAUAUCGGAAGGAACACCAGUGGCGAAAGCGGCUUCCUGGUCCGACACCGACGUUCAGGCACGAAAGCGUGGGGAGCAAACAGG